AGUGAACGCUGGCGGUAGGCCUAACACAUGCAAGUCGAACGGCAGCACAGUAAGAGCUUGCUCUUACGGGUGGCGAGUGGCGGACGGGUGAGGAAUACAUCGGAAUCUACUUUUUCGUGGGGGAUAACGUAGGGAAACUUACGCUAAUACCGCAUACGACCUACGGGUGAAAGCAGGGGAUCUUCGGACCUUGCGCGAAUGAAUGCGCCGAUGUCGGAUUAGCUAGUUGGCGGGGUAAAGGCCCACCAAGGCGACGAUCCGUAGCUGGUCUGAGAGGAGGAUCAGCCACACUGGAACUGAGACACCGUCCAGACUCCUACGGGAGGCAGCAGUGGGGAAUAUGGGACAAUGGGCGCAAGCCUGAUCCAGCCAUACCGCGUGGGUGAAGAAGGCCUUCGGGUUGUAAAGCCCUUUUGUGGGGAAAGAAAAGCAGCAGGUUAAGACCACGCUGUUCUGACGGUACCCAAAGAAUAAGCACCGGCUAACUUCGUG
rnacentral:rRNA from 1 species